GACCAGGUCCCAUGCAGUGGGUGGUCCAGGCAACGGGUCAGGCUGGAAACAGAGCAGCCCAUCUGGCUCAUUCAGGUGCCGUGGAUCACCUGGUCGUC
rnacentral:SRP_RNA from 1 species